UUCUGCACAGUCAAUGAGAGAAAAAAAUUAGCUUGUCUUUUAUUGUUUUCCAAUCAAACAUACAAUAUAAAAAAUCAUCCUUCUUUUUCUUCGUUUUUUGCUCACUUUAUUUCGUAAACCAAGCAUAACAUAGUUCACAUGCUAUGGUCAAUUUUUAUUAUUACACUUUGGUCAACGAUUCAAACCUACCAUUCUUUCACUGAAUGAAGUCAAACCGAACAUUCAAAUACUGUCUGUCUGAUAUUUCAUACUAAUACCGGUUGAAGCCGGAAUUAUAUGCUAAAGUAGAAAAUUCACGACACAUAAUCUUCAUCAAGCUAGAGCCUCAAGAUUCGUCAACCAAGAAAUAUGGCAUCAUCAAAUUCCAGCAAAUAGUUCCAGCUUGUAGGUGUGCUGAACACAGUAGUGCCCCAGUGACCUUCAAGGAACUUUUGGGUCUGAGGUCUGCAAGGGAUUUCUACUGACCUUUUAUCAGGCUAUUUCCGUAUUUGGUACUUACAAAUUGAUUUCUUGUGGCUGACUGGUGGCUUUGGUACGGUCAGGGUGUUAUGGUGUGCAUGGAGAGCCGAUAACGUACAUGUUGAGUAAUGCCACCACCAUAUUCAAGCAGCCUUUUGGAAAAUCUUCCUGAAGGAGCAGUAAAAGGUACAAAGGUUUUUGCGAUAGUGAUUCUGUACAUGUUGAGUGGUGAGCGUUCGGGUAUGUGUUGGUGUUGUCCAUGGUGUAAGGCAUGAUGCAUGAACAGCUGAUUAGGAAAGAAAAGAAGCUUUUGAAACAGGGAGAUUUUGAUUAAGUAACAUACAGGAUAAGGAAUGCAAGUCUGUCCCAAUACAACUAGAGUCAACAAGGAGAAUUCAAGAUAGGUGGAUUCAAUGGACGAAUACUAAGCAUAAUUUAUGAUUGCAGAGUGCCCAGCAAACUCAAUUUGAAAAUGACCAGACAACUAAAAAACUAACAAUGCUUGGUAAUGUUCGGCAAUUACAUGUCAUCAAAGAAAAAAUAAGAUUGACAGAGACUACAGUGCCAAGAAUCUAAAGAUGUCUACAUGAUUUGGUCUGUUUAAGAUGGAGAAGGUUAAUCAACCCAAUCCCAAUUAUAUCGUGAGCUCAAAACAGCCCGAUUCAUGAUGGUCUGGACCCUUUUUUAGAAUGUUCUAGAGAAUGAAAAUUAUAGCGUGAAGCCCCUGAUAUCCUAUACAGACACAGAUCAAAGGGGAAAAAUAACUAGAAGCCUUUGAUUGCUGGUUGUACAUGUUGACCAAAGUCAAUCCUAAGCUAGAACUCAAAGAGCGCCGAUCAGCCUCAUCAUCACAUCCAACAGCACUGUGAAUGAAUCUGCCGCAGAGAAACUCGUCUACAACAGCAAUUUCCAAGUUAGAUCUGAAGCAGAAACUUCUUUACCCGUGAAGAAUCAAAGAAUGUGAGAAUGUUUUAUAUACUCCAGAAAAUUCCUCAUCUCUCUGUUUGAUAAUUGAUAAUAAAAUAGAUGAGAGUGGGACUAAAACACAAGCACUGAGCAGUAACAUUCUUCUGGGGUUGGGGAAGAACACGUGGACAGAUGGAGGGGUUCAAUUUGUCAGAUUUGACAAAGAAAACUGUGUUGGAUCUUAGAGCUCCCAUCAGGAAAGGCUACAUAGUAUGUGAAGAUGAUAACGAAGUACCCAGAACAUAUUGUAAGUGUUUCUACAUAAGCUAUGAAAAACAAUAUAUAUUGUGAACAGGUUGAACAGGUUGUACAUAAAAAUAA